CUCACAGAGCUUGUUGGCAUUCUGUCCACCUCCUUCUUCUUCACCGAACCUUCUCCGUGAGCGGUGGAGGUGGGUGGAUUGCCAAGGAAAGCUCUGUGAG
rnacentral:pre_miRNA from 1 species